rnacentral:rRNA from 1 species
GACGAACGCUGGCGGCGUGCUUAACACAUGCAAGUCGAACGGAAAGGCCCUGCUUUUGUGGGGUGCUCGAGUGGCGAACGGGUGAGUAACACGUGAGUAACCUGCCCUUGACUUUGGGAUAACUUCAGGAAACUGGGGCUAAUACCGGAUAGGAGCUCCUGCUGCAUGGUGGGCGUUGGAAAGUUUCGGCGGUUGGGGAUGGUCUGGCGGCUUAUGGGCUUGUUGGUGGGGUAGUGGCUUACCAAGGCUUUGAAGGGUAGCCGGCCUGAGAGGGUGACCGGGCACAGUGGGACUGAGGUACGGCCCAGACGCCUACGGGAGGCAACGGGGGGGAGUAUGGCACAAUGGGCGGAAGCGUGAGGCAGCAGCGCCGCGUGCGGGAUGCCGUCCUUCGGGUUGUAAACCGCUUUCGCCUGUGACGAAGCGGGAGUGACGGUAAUGGGUAAAGAAGCACCGGCUAACUACGUG